UACGAAGGAUGCAAGCGUUAUCCGGAAUCAUUGGGUUUAAAGGGUGCGUAGGCGGCCAGAUAAGUCAGUGGUGAAAUCUCCUUGCUUAACAAGGAAACUGCCAUUGAUACUGUUUGGCUUGAGUAUAGUUGCUGUGGGCGGAAUAUGACAUGUAGUGGUGAAAUACAUAGAGAUGUCAUAGAACACCGAUUGCGAAGGCAGCUCACAAAACUAUAACUGACGCUGAGGCACGAAAGUGCGGGGAUCAAACAGG
rnacentral:rRNA from 1 species